UACGUAGGGUGCAAGCGUUAAUCGGAAUUACUGGGCGUAAAGCGUGCGCAGGCGGUUUUGUAAGUUUGUCGUGAAAGCCCCGGGCUCAACCUGGGAAUUGCGAUGAAGACUGCAAGGCUUGAAUCUGGCAGAGGGGGGUAGAAUUCCACGUGUAGCAGUGAAAUGCGUAGAGAUGUGGAGGAACACCGAUGGCGAAGGCAGCCCCCUGGACUAACACUGACGCUCAUGCACGAAAGCGUGGGGAGCAAACAGG
rnacentral:rRNA from 1 species